AUUGAACGCUGGCGGCAGGCCUAACACAUGCAAGUCGAACGGUAACAGAAAGCAGCUUGCUGCUUUGCUGACGAGUGGCGGACGGGUGAGUAAUGUCUGGGAAACUGCCUGAUGGAGGGGGAUAACUACUGGAAACGGUAGCUAAUACCGCACAACGUCGCAAGACCAAAGAGGGGGACCUUCGGGCCUCUUGCCAUCGGAUGUGCCCAGAUGGGAUUAGCUAGUAGGUGGGGUAACGGCUCACCUAGGCGACGAUCCCUAGCUGGUCUGAGAGGAUGACCAGCCACACUGGAACUGAGACACGGUCCAGACUCCUACGGGAGGCAGCAGUGGGGAAUAUUGCACAAUGGGCGCAAGCCUGAUGCAGCCAUGCCGCGUGUAUGAAGAAGGCCUUCGGGUUGUAAAGUACUUUCAGCGGGGAGGAAGGGAGUAAAGUUAAUACCUUUGCUCAUUGACGUACCCGCAGAAGAAGCACCGGCUAACUCCGUG
rnacentral:rRNA from 1 species